GAUCAUGCCAUUCUUGAGACUCCCCUAGCCUUCAGAAGUGCGUGCAAAUGUAUUUAACAAUGUGGCUGCAAGAGGAGAAGAGCAAGAGGAAGAUUUCAGGAAAUGUAUUGGUUGGAAUACUUUCUUGUGUGGAUAAAAUCCAUAUCUGAAACAAUGCUUAAUAGAGGAGCCUACAAAAAGAAGAUGAGUGACCAGAGUAUUUACCAGUAUGUGAUUGGACAAAUGCAUGAAUGCACCUACAGUCAAAUAAAUUUUGCUGGGAUUCUUCUGAAGACACAAGUUUUAUACAUUUGUACAUUUUAAAACAAGAAUUUUAUUAUUUUAUCAUUAUGUGAGCAAUUAACAUGUUCAUGAAAAUCUCUUCAUCAUAGCAGGUCAGGAUUUGCACAGGUGUUUAUCUGUGUGAUCUGCAUUGAUUAUGUUUUUCAGGUGUAUUUAUAUGCAAUAAAACGGUUCUCAGAUAUAUUGUUGUAUAUGAAAAGAUUGAUGAAUGCUAAUCUCAAGACAGUAUCCAAACGUGAAGUUGAGUCUUUUGGUGCCACCUUCUGGUGUGAGCUGUUUGAUAGGGACAGAAUGCAGCUCGGGUUUUUAUUAAUAGAUGUGUUAUGGGGAUGUCGUCACGUCAUGUUUUCAGUAGUGACUUAGGUCACAGUAGAAUGGGAAAGAUAAGAUAGUGAAUUAUAGUAAAUGAUUGCAAAAGAUAUACUUAAUUUAAGCCAACAGUCCUUGUUAUCUAAUAGAGGGGAAAAGGUUCUAUUUGACUUAUGGAUAUAAACAAGUGGAAAUGAAUAAAAUUAUGCUAUAUCUUAUUAUAGACUGGG
ensembl:lncRNA